GGCAACCCGCUGAGGUCAAGCUUCGUUUUUUUUGCUUUUUACAAUAAGUGUUGCUACUGCUCAGUCUUUGAGUCCACGCUACUUUUAUGAGCUGUAACACUCACUACAAAGGUCUGCAGCUUCACUCUUGAAGCCAGCGAGACCACUGAGCUCACCGGGAGGAACAAACAACUCCGGACGCACUGUCUUAAGAGCUAUAACACCGCCAAGGUCUGCAUCUUCACUUCUGAGCCAGCGAGACCACGAACCCACCAGAAGGAAGAAACUCGGAACACAUCUGAAUAUCAGAAGGAACAGACUCCAGACGCGCCACCUCAAGAGCUGUAACACUCACGGCGAGGGUCCGCGGCUUCAUUCUUGAGGGCAAAAUCUUUUUCCCUUGAAGACUGGAAAUAUUAUCCAUGUUGUCCUCCGGAAUAUUUUCAAUGACUUGUGCCCUGCCAGCUCUAGCUUUUGAAGGGUCUACACUCAUCAUCAACAGAUUCUGGGGGUUCAUGCACAGAUUUCUUACCUGGGUAUAUUGUGUGAUGCUGAGCUUUGGAGUUCAACUGAUUUCAUCACCCAGAAGAACAACCAGAGAAAGCCAAGUAUGCACCUGAUGCCCCACUUCCAGUGAGCCGCCUCCAGCUUCCCACGCCAACAGCUUCCAAUCAGCACACUUUCGGAGCCUUCCCUUUUCUCCACGAUGAAAGCUUCCCCACUCCUCUGACUGCCUUUGAGCCUCUGCCAAAACUCAAGUGAUGGUAGCCGACUCCCUGCUACCGCAAGCUUGGAAUAAACAGCCUUUGCUUUUCUCAUCUGCUUUGUCUUCGUUUAUUUCCACAAGAUCCUUCACAGUGAGAAGCUGCUUCCUCCCUUGGAGCCUUUCUAACCCUGCACCCUCUGCCUGGAAUGCUUCCUCCACCCUCCACGUGGUCAAACCUCUCCCUGUUUUCCAGAUUUCAACUUGUGAAUUGAAGACACCUUCUCUAACCACUCUGUAACCACUCCCUUCUCAGCCUCUUUUUUGGUUCCCUUACAGUGCGUGCCACAACUUGCAAUCAUUUCGUUUAUUUUUUUGGU
rnacentral:lncRNA from 1 species